AAUUGCCAAUGACUUUGGUGAAAAAUGGCUUUCCCAAGUGUUUGGAGCAGAUGAAUGAACCCGAAACUGCUUCUUGUGAUAAAUCCGGAUGAUCUGUCUUGCCUGGGAAGCAAGAAAAUGUCCCAGUCUGAUGCUUUUGCUGAUUUUCUGCUUAACUUGCGGUGAACUGCCAUGGCUGCGAGCCCACGUUAAGGACACGAGAAAAUCUUGAUCAACCAAGGUGAUGAACGCAAGAUCCAAGGUUAUUUCUGCCUCCCAAGAGGAGAAGUCCUGUUUCCUUUGGCAGGGAAGGCGGUGCCUCCUCUUACGGACUGUCCUCGUGAAAGCAGCAAGUGUGAUCUACUGCCGCUAUAGUGGGCAAUAUAAAGAAUGAAUGGGAUCAGUCACCGGGACAAUUUCUGUGUUGGGGUGCCAGCAGUGAUGCCGAGAUGCUCUCUGAUGUCAAGGCCACGUGCUGCACCUGGGUGAACAUGAACCUGAAUUGAACCGAACAAAGCCUUCUGGCUCCAGGGGCUGGAGGUGGCUAGGACCCUGAGCUGUCCAGGGGAAAUACCUGAUUCUGGGAUUGUCUAAAAUCAAGCUGUAACUGCAUCCACCUGGGGACAUGUAACAUUGCUGAAGGAGAAGCAUUAAACCUGGAAACAAGUUGCCAGCCUGACAGUGGCUCAUACUGAGCACAGCCGUGAGCGGCUGACACUGCCACCGCACAGCCCCAGCCAGCAGCGCAGGAAGCAACAGUGUGAAUAGCCACCUGAGCAGGAGCACCAGCAGCUGCCACGAGCGGGCAGAGACACGAACCCGAGCGGUUAGCUUCAGGCACAGGAUCUGUAACGGAGCCUCCUGCAACCACGCCGCAGCACCCUCACCUUCACACCCAACCGCCUGCGUGUUUCCAGUUGCAUCGCUAACAGCACAGACGGAUCCGCAGCGCAACGUGUGCCCCACUGCACGCUUUUGUGCCAGCGUUAUUGCUGUGGACAAUUACCUGUGGGACCAAGAAAAAGCACCAGGAGGUCCAGGUCACCAGCAAUGUUCCCACCAGUGAGUUUGAGGAAUUGGGGUUUCUGACAGCACGGGCACCUCCUCAGCCAAAGCCCGGCAUCUUGACGGCAAUGGGCAGCGAAGCCGCAUCCCCUGGCCUCGCUGGCCGAUGGAUUCCCAACAAGUGAGAGAAACGCAGCCAGGAGCAGGCGCUGGGCCUCAGCCAGAGCCCAAGGCCAGCGGCCACCCCAUCAUGGCUACCGACCCCCACAGUUGGAAAGAGAUUGUCCAGAAUGGAAAUCCUUCUCAUUCAAACAAGUUGCAUUUUAUGAACUUCCCAUCAGAGUGGAUCUUCAGAGAUGAUGUACUUGGCUGUAGAAGUCACCAGCAGCAAGACACUUCACGCUCUUUUUAAAAAAAAAACAACAAACCCAAGAAAAAGUUUACUUCCUUGCAAAGACACAAGCACAGCACGUGUUCCAAAAGUCGAUGGCGUCACUGGUCUCUGGGUUCUCAGCUGUAGCAGUUGACAUAUCGUAAAACUGCGUUCCUCUGCAUGCUUCAGUACAGCCAAAAGCAUUAGUAAAUCUGCUAGUCCUUUUUGGUAGCCGUAUGUAUUGCAGCACCGGGAAUUUGGGUUUUUUUUCUUUUUUUUCCCCCGAAAGUAAAACCAUAUGGGGGAUCUCUUAUCUCACUGGUUUUUCUGUCAUAAAUGAAACUUUAAAAAAAACUUAAAUUGUAUAACUCGCAAAUUGACUUGCAUCGUUUAAACCGUAACUGCCAAAUAGCUAUAGCAUACAAUUUAUUAGGUGUAUUUAAAAGCAGUUAGGUAUUUGUUCUCAAUCUUUAAAAAGACAGGCAAAUGAAUGUUACGGGGUUUUUUUCCCAGUAUUUUGAUGGAGCGCUCUGAAGUACUUUAUUUCUGUCUGGCUUUCAGUGGCGCAUUUCCCUGGCAGUUCGGUAGCAUCUCUCUUGGGCAGUGCAGCUGGCCAGAUGUCCAUCCUAAUUGGGUAACAUACAAAAAAAACCCCUAGUCAACUUACAGCUGUGUAUUUUGGAGAUAGAUAAUUUAAUGGUACCAAUUAACAGCUGUGCAAGUUAAAUUAAUGCAAAAGGCAACUCAAAUACUUGUGUAAGGUUUUUAUUGGGUAUAUAUAAACAUAUGCACACCUCGUUAGUAUAAAGUGUGUUACUGAGAUUUGUUCUUCAUUUUUAGUUUUACUCUUUAAAGUUUUAUGCUUCACUUUGAGCUUUAUUGACCAAGCAAGCAAGAUGUGCAGCAGCAGCGCAAGGGCUGUAGCUGUUGGGAUGGAUCUGUAAGCGUAGAUUCUGAUGAUGGUACAACCUGGUCCUGCAGCCUCACAGGGUUCUCUCCCUGCAGCAGUGCUGUAAGGAAGGGAUGAGACAUUUUCCAGCAGCAGCAAGAGGAUUUACUUUUAUGCUGAGAAUGUGUUCAAAAUCAUAUCAGUUCGUCUUAAUACUGAUAUUAAGUGUUCACAUCACUCUGGCUUUUAAAGGAUGUUCUUGUGUUUGGAGCUGACCUGUUUACCUAGAAUCCUCCUCCAGCUCAACUGUUAUCCUAUCCCUUGUUCUGACUGAAUUCCUGUACUUCUGUGUUAUUUUUUAAUAUGCUGAAAUAUAAUUUGGGAUUUUUGUUUUUCA